rnacentral:lncRNA from 1 species
CUCUUCUCUUGUCUGCCAUCAUAUGAGCCAUGAUCCAUCAGGCCUCCCCAGCAACAUGGAACUGGUACAUGUGGAGGAUGUACAGGUUUGUUACAUCGGUAAAUGUGUGCCAUGGUGGUUUGCCGCACCUAUCAACCCAACACCUAGAAGGAAGACUUGGAUUCAGAGAAAGAGAAAAAGGAGAUGUGACAAGGAGAGUAGAAGUUGGCAUGGUGGAAGAAGGAAGAAGGCACCACAAGCCAAGGAAUACAGCAACCUCUAGAAGCUGGAAAAAGCAAGAAAAUAGAUUCAUUCGUGGAGCAUCCAGAAGAACCAUUCUUGCAGAGACCCUUAUUUUAGCCCAUUGAAACUUAGUUGAACUUCUGUUCAGGCCACUGAAAUGAUGCCCCUUCCUUGAUAAGGCACAAUACCUACACCAGCAGCCAGAGAUGUUAUGGUUUAAGGUCCUCAGCGGCCUGUGAGUGUCAAUGUUGGUAUUUUUGGCUGUACUUACAUCCAGCAGCUGCAACCCCCAGUCAUAGCAUAAGAUGACAAAAACUGCAAGGUCACAGGCGAAUGUAGCCAGAAAUUUGUGCAGCCUCCAUAGGGCUACAUAAGCAACCCUGAUAUUGCAUAACAGCUCAGAGUUCAUUGUUUCUCAGCCCAUCCUUCUCAGGGUCUCCUAGAUGAUGACUUUGAAGCCUUUGAAGAGUAAGUCAUGCAUGUCCCUUCCCACUGGGUUAGGAACCUGCUGCAAUGUCUACAGGGGGCUUGGGGAGAAAUAAGGACUUCUAUCUAUCAUUGCUACAGUUACACUAGAAAGAGCUCGUCACAUGAGCCAAGCAGGUUUCCUCUCCUCCUGCACUUGGGCCUAUGCCACUGGGUGGAAUGAAAAGAAGCUCAAAGUUGCCUUCUCUUAAUAUCCUCCUCUGACUUAAUGAUUCCCAAGUGGAUGUGGAAGAUGCUGAUAGGACACACACCUUUUGUAUGGAGGGAGGGAAAAAAUUAAGGGAAGGGGAGAGAGAAGAAUGGAGGAAGAGAGAGGGAGACAAGGAAAGGAAGGAAGAGAGAAGAAAGGAGAAAGACAGAGGGAUGAAAGAAGAGAGAGGAAGGAAGGAAGAAGGGAAGGAAGGAAGAAAGGAAGGGAGGGAAGGAGAGAGAAAGGGAAGAAAAGGAAAGGAAAGGAGAAAGGAAAAAAUGAAAGGAGGGAGGAAGAGUGAGGCAGAGUCAGAAAGAGAGAAAAAGAGGAAGAAAGAGAGAGGAAAGGAGAGAAUAAGAAGGGGGGAAAUGGAAAAAUAUAAAAAGGACCAAACAAAGAAAGAGAGAGGGGAGGGAAGGGGAGAAAAAGAAGGAGGAGAAGGAGAGAGAAAGAAAGAAAAAUAGGAAGCAGAGGGGAGAAAGAGAAGUAAGGAAGAGAAAGAGAGGGAAAGACGGUGAGAGAGAAAGAGGAAGGAAUGGUAAAUAGAAAGGAGAAAUGGAGAAAGAGAGAAGAGAUAAGGGAGAGGGAGUGCAGACUGGGAGAGAGAGAUGAGAUAGUUAGAGAUAUACGAAUGGAGGAAGGAGAAAGACAGAGAGAUAGAAGGAGUAGGAGGAGGAGAAAGUAAAAGAGAGAAAGAGAAGAGGGUAAGGGAGAAAGAGAAAGAAGGACAGAGAGCCAUACAGAGAGGAACAAAUGGAUAAACAGAGGAAGGAAGGGAUGGAGAAAGAGAGGAGAAAAGGAAAGAGAGGGAAGGAAGGAAAGAGGGAGGGAGAAAGAGAGCAUGUGCUUAAAGAAAAGUUAUGGGGCUGGCUGUCAUUUCCUCCAGAGGCCAACAAAACUCUCCCUACUCUCUAAGCCCCAGUGAAUAUAUAUGAAAGAGCUAG